UACAGAGGGGGCUAGCGUUGUUCGGAAUUACUGGGCGUAAAGGGCGCGUAGGCGGCCCGCUAAGUCGAACGUGAAAUCCCCGGGCUCAACCCGGGAACUGCGUCCGAUACUGGCAGGCUUGAAUCCGGGAGAGGGAUGUGGAAUUCCAGGUGUAGCGGUGAAAUGCGUAGAUAUCUGGAGGAACACCGGUGGCGAAGGCGGCAUCCUGGACCGGUAUUGAUGCUGAGGCGCGAAAGCCAGGGGAGCAAACGGG
rnacentral:rRNA from 1 species